rnacentral:rRNA from 1 species
UACGUAGGGUGCGAGCGUUGUCCGGAAUUAUUGGGCGUAAAGGGCUCGUAGGCGGUUUGUCGCGUCAGGAGUGAAAACUCGGGGCUCAACCCCGAGCCUGCUUCUGAUACGGGCAGACUAGAGGUAUGCAGGGGAGAACGGAAUUCCUGGUGUAGCGGUGAAAUGCGCAGAUAUCAGGAGGAACACCGGUGGCGAAGGCGGUUCUCUGGGCAUUACCUGACGCUGAGGAGCGAAAGUGUGGGGAGCGAACAGG